UUGGGAGCGGCGCGGCCGCUCGCGCCCGGUUCCCUGAGGCUCCAGGGCAACUUUGGGGCUGUAGGUUUGGGGAAAGCAGGCUGGCACCCUCAGGAAGACGGUCCCCUGCCUGAGGACGGGGUUUCCAGGAACCCAUCCACCCAGCCAUGCUGAGAAGACCUAGAAACUCAUGGAGAGGAGUGGGGUCUCCUUGCCCUUGGCCAUGACUGAGCUCCCAGCUGGCAGCCACACCAACUUGCCAGCCAUGCAGUAACACAUCCUGACAGCAGAUUCUCCAACCCCAAUGAAGCUGCCCCAACUGACACAACAUGGAACAGACAUGAGCCUUCUCUGUUGAUUGCUGUUUGAGCUGAAAAUUCGUGAACUAAAGACCAGGCAUAAGAGACAGAAAUUGAAGACAUUAAGUACAGCCACCUCUUUUAUUUUGCCUCGAGUGCAACAUUUAUUCUGUGCAAAAAUGAGCGGGGAUGGCCCAUGGCAACAGGAGAAGCCAACCUUUGGCUCACUGGGAUGUCACUUCCGAUCUCAAAUGUGUCAUGAGGCAUUCAUUCAUGAGGCAAAUCAUCAAGGAAAUGUCAAAACAUCAGGAAAUGGUGAGUAAAUAGACUCAGAUGCUUUGGUGCAAACUUGCUGAGAACAGAGGCUGUGGUUUCCAUAUGCCUCUAUAGACUCCAGUGGUAGAAGUCCUCAUGAAUAUUAACCACUUAUACAUUUCAGGGUCAAUGAUGGUGGCACAGCCAAGCAUGCCAGGCCAACUGGUGAAGAAGGGCCUGGACUUUAGGUGGGAAGGACAGUUUGACAUUUCGAAGGCUUUCUCUGGGAGCCAGAGAAACAAUGCCCAAAGCAGAGCAAUUUUCUCAAAGAGGGACGUUCCAUCACUUAUGAUAAAACUUAGGUCGGUGCUUUGCAAACUGUGUAGCAUCCUGUUCCUUCCUAUUGUGUGGGUAGGGGUGUACAUCUCAGGACAGGGUCUAUAUGUUUAGCUACCUGGGAUCUUGUGCUUCCCUGUAACCAGGGCCAAGCCCACUAUAACAGGCACCAGGCAAAUUUUCUUUCUUCAGCAAAAUUAACAGAGCAAACUUGCCUCUUUAAAAGUAUGGGACUAUUUCAAGUUUGCCCUUGAGGAUCUGCAGGGUGAGUUAACCUCAAGUGAUCUAUAGACAGAGAAGUCCAAAUGGAAACCUGGAGCCAAAAGACAUGAGCAAAAAGUGGGUGCAGUUAAUGAAACAAGACUGAUGUGCACUGAUAAUUGCUGAAGCUAGGUGAUGGGUGUAUAGAGACUUUUUGCUCUACUUUUAUAUAUGUUUGAUUUUUCCAUAAUUAAAGGUUAAAUAAAGGAAAAAUAACUGCGGGCCUCCUGAACAGGAGUGCUGAAUUUGUAUAUCAGCAGGGGGGGCUAAUAUGUCAGCCACAUUCCUCUCAUUAUAUUCUCAAUUUCCUUACCUGAAAAAAUGGAGGUAAUAUCAACUCACUGGGUUGUGACAGUUAAAGGAAGAAAUGAAUGUAAAAUUCCCAGCACUGAGCCAGAAAGUGUGCUACCAUUAUUAAAAUAAAAUACGAUAAAAAUACAUCUAAAAUACCAAUGAUUGACAAUGACUGUAUUUUAAUGAUGGAAACAUUUUUACUUGCUUUCUUUUAUUUUCCCCAUUUUCUAUGUUGAGCAUGUAUAGAAUUACAAUUAGGAACGAGUGAAAUAAUAUGUUCUUGAAAUUAAUGUUGGUUCAUCUCUUCCCAUACGCAAAGGCAUCUGAAAAACUUGGACUACAAAACAUUCAAGAACGUUCCUAAUAUUGUAAUUUCAAUUCCUCCCUGUCUGAAGUUUAAAGGCUUUUUCAAAAAUAACUUUGGUUUAAAACUCCUUAAAGAACAAUGAAAAAAAAACAAACCCUGAAUUAUAACAUACCCACCUCUUUCUACCUAUUGGUUCCAAAAGGCAUUUAAGUUAGCUGCUGGCUAUUCCUGUGUAAAAAUAGUUCGUGAUUUUACUUGACAAGUGAUGGGUUACAUAGCUCACCCUGCAGUUCCCCAGGGAAAAGCAUGAAAUAUUCUACUACUGUCAAAGAAGCCAGAUUGCUGUUGGGUUUUUUGUCUAAAACGUAUGUACCAUAUGCCUGUUGCUUCCGCUUUUAUUUGGAACAUAAAAUAAAUAGAAGACUGACUUCCAGGAGUUAUCCGUGUUGCUGCUGUUAUGAAAUGGUCUUAUACACUGUAUCAGUUAUCAGUUUGCCAUGGUGAUGCUACAUAACUAGGUGAAUUUGACAUAGCAACAUCACUUCCCUGAGAGUAGUAGGAUAUUUCAUGUUUUCCCCUGGGGUAACUGCAAGGUCAGUUACUGUAACCCUCAAACUAUCUAUAGACAGAGAAAAUUCAGAUGGAAACUCAGCAGCCUACAAUAAGAAGCAUUGAUUUAACUCCUGAGUCUGCAGGGUACCGUCGAUCAGGCUGGGCUUGGCUGAUCUGAGCUGGACUCAAUCUCAUUCACAUGUCUAAGGUCAGCUGACUGUGGGCUACCUCAGGGUAGCCUUGGCUGAAACAAAGGGGCCAGGGGCUCUGCUCUGCUCCAAAUGAUUUUUGUCCUCCAGGCUAUCCUAGGCAUGGUCUCCGGAUGGGAGAAGAGCAAGCACAAGCAAAAAUGCCCAAGUGCUUUUUAUUCCCUCAUCAUUUUUUUCAAAAUACGUCUUAUAUUUCCCCCUUUUUUUUUUCAAGUGCCUUUUUAAGCAUCUGUUGUGUCCUGUCUGCUAACAUUCCCAUGGCUAAAGCAAGUACCUAAGACAGCCCAGGCUCCAGGGUGAGGAAGUAGAUUCUGCCUCUUUGGUGAAAGGAAUUGCAGUCAAGUGGCAAAAGUUGAGGCUACAAGAGAGGGUUAAAAAAAUUGAGGCCAAUAACGCAAUCAACGUGCCAUAUAAAAUUACAUAAUAAGAACUAGCAUUUCUCUGUGAUGUUGUGUGUUUGGCAAAACAUUGUUAUGCAUCUUCUAAUGUCUAAGUACAUCCCUAAGGACUGAAGAGGGUUAAUCCUUUUAGGAAGGCACUAUAAGUUGUUUCAAUGUUGAAAUUUAUUUUUACUUCUAGCAUCUUAUCCUUUGGUUUGCACAUAUAUGCUAUGAUAGUUUGAAGUUAAAUUUUAGAGGUCAGUGAGUAAAAUUGCGUCUUUGUUUUGGGCACAUGAAGUUUGUGGUUGCCUGAUAAACACCCAUUCACCUUUCAAAACCCACUUAUUACAUCACCUCCUCUAGGAAGCCUCUCUGGUCCCUCCAGAUAAAAUUAAUCAUGCCCUCCUCUAAUCUAUCUUUGUGCCUGUGCUUGAGCCCGCUUUCACCCUUAUCUAUUGG